rnacentral:rRNA from 1 species
GCCGGUGACCAUAGCGACAGGGUCACACCUGAUCCCAUCCCGAACUCAGCAGUUAAGCCUGUCGCGCCGAUGAUACUGUCACUGCGGGAAAGUAGGUCAUCGCCGGCU